UAAUAAAAAUGUUAUUUUUUUGCAUUUCUGCAUAUUCUGUGACUUUCAAAAUUCACUCCUCCUUUGUUGGUAUUUUAUAGACUUUCCAUUUUUGUGUAUAUAGCGUCCUUGCUGCAGUAGUCAU